rnacentral:rRNA from 1 species
UACGUAGGGUGCGAGCGUUAAUCGGAAUUACUGGGCGUAAAGCGUGCGCAGGCGGCGCGUUACGUCAGGUGUGAAAGCCUCGAGCUUAACUUGGGAAUUGCGCUUGUGACUGGCGUGCUGGAGUGUGGCAGAGGGAGGUGGAAUUCCACGUGUAGCAGUGAAAUGCGUAGAUAUCGGGAGGAACACCUGUGGCGAAAGCGGCGCACUGGACCACAACUGACGCUGAGGCGCGAAAGCUAGGGGAGCAAACAGG